rnacentral:snRNA from 1 species
GGAUGUGAGGGCGAUCUGGCUGCGACAUCUGUCACCCCAUUGAUCGCCAGGGUUGAUUCGGCUGAUCUGGCUGGCUAGGCGGGUGUCCCCUUCCUCCCUCACCGCUCCAUGUGCGUCCCUCCCGAAGCUGCGUGCUCGGUCGAAGAGGACGACCAUCCCCGAUAGAGGAGGACCGUUCUUCGGUCAAGGGUAUACGAGUAGCUGCGCUCCCCUGCUAGAACCUCCAAACAAGCUCUCAAGGAGGCAGGUGAGCCACAGACUCAGAUAGACAUUCACAAAGCUGU